UCUUACCCAACUUAGAUAGCAUUUCCCCUAUUUGAGAAACUCCAACAUUAUAAAUAAUACUCAGGGGUUCUUAAUUGCUCUCUACUUCUUGUUCAUAAGGAUGACAUGGACUAGAUCAGUCAAUGUGAUGAUCCAGCAGUAGUAAUUGGUUCAAAGGGCAAAUGAUUUCACAGGAUCUAUCUAGACCUUCUUUGAUAUAGAACCCUUCAAGGAAUGAAAUUUUCUUUUUGCCGAUAUUGCCAAACUGAUGACAAAAACUAGAGAGCCUGAGACACUACCUCUGCUGUGGAGCCAACUUAAGUGAGAGAUUCUUGGGGUAUUACAUUCUAAGGCCCUGGUUCUAGCCUUGCUACCAUAAAAUUUGAACCACCCAGUAACCAAAAAAGUGAGUUAUUUGGCUUGCCACAGUUUGAAUUUCUGUCAUUUAAACCCCUCGAGAAUCCCAGACAAUAGAGUUGUCAAUACCAGGACAAUUAGAUAAAUAAUUUUGUAAAACAAAGUAUUUUCUAAUACUGGGGAUUGAAUCCAGGACUUUACAUGCUAGGCAAACACUCUGCUACUGAGCUACAUCCCCCGCUCCCCCAUGUUUUCCCCUUAAGACAGGUUCUCAGUAAGUUGCUCAGGCUGGCCUUGAACUUCGGGAGGUUGAGGCCUGCCUCAACUUCCCAAAGUAAAAACCCUCAGUUUUAAACAUCUUGUAGUUAUAAAUCCUUUCAUAAUUACAUAUUCUCAUUUUCUUUCUUUAAAAAAAAAUUUUAAUUGCUUGUAGUCUGUAGUCAUUUUUACUGCAGGUUUUCAUAUUGUUUGGUUAUAGUGAUAGAUAUAAAUGUAUUACGUGUCUGUUGACCAUUCAAAGGGCCUAAAAACUUUGGAGGAAUACUUGUUUAUAUGUGGUGCCCACUUUUUU
rnacentral:lncRNA from 1 species